UGAAAAGCUGAGCAAUUGUCCUGCUUCCAUGACUCAUGGGCUCCACCAUGGACAGGCUUUACUCCAUUCUCCUGCUGCUGAUUGUCCCUCCCUGGGUUUUUUCCCAGGUCACAUUGAAGGAGACUGGUCCUGGUCUGGUGAAAACUGCCCAGACCCUUACACUGACCUGCACCUUUUCUGGGUUCUCAAUCAGCACUUCUGGAAUCGGUGUUGCCUGGAUCCGUAAGCCCCCAGGGAAGGCACUGGAGUGGCUUGCAACAAUAUGGUGGGAUGAUGAUAAGUAUUAUGCAGCAUCUCUGAAAAGCCGGCUCACAAUCUCUAAGGACAAUGCCAGAAGUCAGGUGUCUCUAGCAAUGACCAACAUGAACCCUGUAGACACAGCCAUGUAUUACUGUGCAAGAAGAGCACAGAGGCACAGUCCCAUGGUACUUUUGUACAAAAACAAUUAUGGGUUCUCAGCUGUGCCCACACCUCUAGAGAAAAGGAGAGUUCAGUGA